rnacentral:rRNA from 1 species
ACGGCAGCACGGAGCUUGCUCUGGUGGCGAGUGGCGAACGGGUGAGUAAUAUAUCGGAACGUACCCUGGAGUGGGGGAUAACGUAGCGAAAGUUACGCUAAUACCGCAUACGAUCUAUGGAUGAAAGUGGGGGAUCGCAAGACCUCAUGCUCGUGGAGCGGCCGAUAUCUGAUUAGCUAGUUGGCGGGGUAAAAGCCCACCAAGGCAUCGAUCAGUAGCUGGUCUGAGAGGACGACCAGCCACACUGGAACUGAGACACGGUCCAGACUCCUACGGGAGGCAGCAGUGGGGAAUUUUGGACAAUGGGCGCAAGCCUGAUCCAGCAAUGCCGCGUGAGUGAAGAAGGCCUUCGGGUUGUAAAGCUCUUUUGUCAGGGAAGAAACGGUGUUUUCUAAUACAGAAUGCUAAUGACGGUACCUGAAGAAUAAGCACCGGCUAACUACGUGCCAGCAGCCGCGGUAAU